AACGAACGCUGGCGGCGUGCCUAACACAUGCAAGUCGAACGCGAAAGGGGGCAACCCCCGGUAGCGUGGCAGACGGGUGAGUAACACGUGGGUAACCUACCCGGAGGUGGGGGAUAACCCUUCGAAAGGAGGGCUAAUACCGCAUGACAUCGCAGGGUCCUCGGCCCUUGCGAUCAAAGCUGGCCUCUGUUUACAAGCUAGCGCCACCGGAUGGGCCCGCGCCCCAUUAGCUAGUUGGUGAGGUAACGGCUCACCAAGGCGACGAUGGGUAGCCGGCCCGAGAGGGCGAUCGGCCACACUGGAACUGCGACACGGUCCAGACUCCUACGGGAGGCAGCAGUGAGGAAUAUUGCGCAAUGGGCGAAAGCCUGACGCAGCGACGCCGCGUGGAGGAUGAAGGUCUUCGGAUUGUAAACUCCUGUCGAGUGGGACGAAUGCCGUGAGGGUGAAUAAGCCUCGCGGUUGACGGUACCGCUGGAGGAAGCCCCGGCUAACUCCGUGCCAGCAGCCGCAGUAAUAC
rnacentral:rRNA from 1 species